AGAGUUUGAUCAUGGCUCAGAAUGAACGCUGGCGGCGUGCUUAACACAUGCAAGUCGUGCGCGAAGGUGGCUUCGGUCACCGGAGAGCGGCGAACGGGUGAGUAACACGUGGGUGAUCUGCCUGGGAGCGGGGGAUAACCUGGGGAAACUCGGGCUAAUACCGCAUACGUCGUCGUGGUUACGAUCACGGCAAGAAAGCUGGCCUCUACUUGUAAGCUAGCACUCCCAGAGGAGCCCGCGGCUGAUUAGCUAGUUGGUGAGGUAAUGGCUCACCAAGGCUUCGAUCAGUAGCCGGCCUGAGAGGGUGAACGGCCACACUGGGACUGAGACACGGUCCAGACUCCUACGGGAGGCAGCAGUGGGGAAUUUUGCACAAUGGGCGAAAGCCUGAUGCAGCAACGCCGCGUGUGUAAUGAAGGUCUUCGGAUCGUAAAGCACUUUCGACCGGGACGAACACCCCUUGGCUAACAUCCAAGGAUCUGACGGUACCGGGAGAAGAAGCACCGGCUAACUCUGUGCCAGCAGCCGCGGUAAUUC
rnacentral:rRNA from 1 species